GCGGUAAUACGUAGGUGGCAAGCGUUAUCCGGAAUUAUUGGGCGUAAAGCGCGCGCAGGUGGUUUCUUAAGUCUGAUGUGAAAGCCCACGGCUCAACCGUGGAGGGUCAUUGGAAACUGGGAGACUUGAGUGCAGAAGAGGAAAGUGGAAUUCCAUGUGUAGCGGUGAAAUGCGUAGAGAUAUGGAGGAACACCAGUGGCGAAGGCGACUUUCUGGUCUGUAACUGACACUGAGGCGCGAAAGCGUGGGGAGCAAACAGGAUUA
rnacentral:rRNA from 2 species